rnacentral:rRNA from 1 species
GAUGAACGCUAGCUACAGGCUUAACACAUGCAAGUCGCGGGGCAGCAUGGGGGUUGCUUGCAACCCCUGAUGGCGACCGGCGCACGGGUGAGUAACGCGUAUCCAACCUGCCCUUCACCACGGGAUAACCCGGCGAAAGUCGGACUAAUACCGUAUGUUGUCCAUUGACGGCAUCCGAUUUGGACGAAAGGCUUGGCGGUGGAAGGAUGGGGAUGCGUCCGAUUAGCUUGACGGCGGGGUAACGGCCCACCGUGGCUACGAUCGGUAGGGGUUCUGAGAGGAAGGUCCCCCACACUGGAACUGAGACACGGUCCAGACUCCUACGGGAGGCAGCAGUGAGGAAUAUUGGUCAAUGGGCGUAAGCCUGAACCAGCCAAGUAGCGUGCAGGAUGACGGCCCUAUGGGUUGUAAACUGCUUUUAUGCGGGGAUAAAGUGGCCCACGUGUGGGCUUUUGCAGGUACCGCAUGAAUAAGGACCGGCUAAUUCCGUG